CCUACGGGUGACAGCAGUGAGGGAUAUUGGUCAAUGGGGGAAACCCUGAACCAGCAACGCCGCGUGAGGGAAGACGGUUUUCGGAUUGUAAACCUCUGUCCUCUGUGAAGAUAAUGACGGUAGCAGAGGAGGAAGCUCCGGCUAACUACGUGCCAGCAGCCGCGGUAAUACGUAGGGAGCAAGCGUUGUCCGGAUUUACUGGGUGUAAAGGGUGCGUAGGCGGCAUGUCAAGCGUGCUGUGAAAUGUCCGGGCUCAACCCGGGCCUUGCAGCGCGAACUGGCGUGCUUGAGUCCGCGGAAAGCAGGCGGAAUUCGUCGUGUAGCGGUGAAAUGCUUAGAUAUGACGAAGAACCCCGAUUGCGAAGGCAGCUUGCUGCAGCGGAACUGACGCUGAUGCUCGAAAGCGCGGGUAUCGAACAGGAUUAGAUACCCCAGUAGUC
rnacentral:rRNA from 1 species